AGCUUUGCACAGUGACAGCAUGAUAGCCAAUGAGGUUUAUCUGAGACACGAUUUUGCUGAUUGAAAACUUUUAAAAAUACUUAUCUGCAUUUACGGGUUAAUGUUGAGUCAUUAAUUUUGAG
rnacentral:snRNA from 1 species